GUCUUUUAAUUUCCAGAAUGCUCUUGAGGCGCUGCUACUUGAAUUCUCUCUGCUACUUUUUCCUAUAGUUCUCCUCCGCUAUUUAUAGCGCUGUUAUGAUUUUCCGGGGGAGUGCACAUAGUUUUAUCGAUGUUCAGCUUAAGGCCCAAAGAGACGACACUAAAACUCACGUUACCCUAGACAAGGAAAGAGAGUCUCUCUUUCCUUCUCUAAGGACAAAAUACUCGGAAGCUGAACCGCGCAACCGCGGUCUACGUCAAACUCAGCUGAACUUUGCCACUGAUGGACUUUGUAAACAACGGCACUUUUAUAAAUAUCAGAGUAAAUAUGGCCCUAUUUAAAAACAAAGUUAAAAACUCAACAGCAUUCCUGUAUUUUUAAAUAAUACAAAAAAUACUAAAAGCAUUUAAAGAAGAUUUACAAUUUGUGAAUGCGUUUUGGGGAUCCAGCGAUUCAUAGAACUUUGAUAAUUAAUAUUACAGACUAGAUUAUUUUUAAUUUGUGUUGUUUCACUUAAUUUUGUGAAAAAUACUAUAAUAAGAAGAAACCUGGAAGAAACGUAUUAUUUGCCCACUGUGUACUCUACUAAAUAUGGUAGUCUGUAUAGUUUGUGGAAGUUGCAGUAUAUUGCAACAUUUGAAGGUAAACACCAUGAAGUAAAUUUGGAAAUGGAAACACAUAACUUUGCCUAUGACUUUGCUACAAAGGAAAGUUAUAAACUGUGGUAUGAAAAGCAGAAGAUCAAGAUAAAUUAUGCAUUCGCCAAGCCAAGAAGAUAUAAUGACUAUGUGGAAAAAAACUUACAAUUAUUAUCGUAAUCAUAGUAAAUCAGCCAGGACACAUCAGCAAUUAUUGUUCUAAAUGAACAGAGAAGGCCAGUAGUUCAAUAAAAA